AGGCCAGUAGCUCAAUCGGCAGAGCGUCGGUCUCCAAAACCGAAGGUUGGGGGUUCAAUUCCCUCCUGGCCUG
rnacentral:tRNA from 1 species